UAGAGACGUUUUUCAAUUUUCAACUAUUACUUACUUAGUACCUAUCCAAUACAUAGGUACAGGUUUUUUUUCAACGCGUGCGACACUUGGAAUAUAGUAUAAAUAUAAAUACACCAUAGUGUAUUAUUUCUUCAUACAUAAUGUUACAUAGAUACGGUACUUAACCGAGAGAAAAAAGUAGGUAAAAUAAAAUUAGACAAUCGUAAAUUCAUUUUUCGGGGUAACCAUUCCUGUAAUAUAAUUAUUUUCGUGUGCAGGUAAUACUAUACUAUAUAAUACUUAUUUUUUUUCGCCACUUUGCGCCAACUGCAGUAUUAUUUUGGUUAACUUACCUACCCACAAUAGUAAAAUGUUUGUUAUUUUUGCAUUGGCUUAUAUAUCUAUAUAGUUGAAAAUAUAAAACGGGUGCCUAGGAAACUUUUUUGUAAAGAAAUAAUUAUCUUUGUCCACCUAUAGGUAUACAAUGUAUACUAUAUGUAUAGUAUCUAUGUAUGAUUUUGGCUAUAAUAAGACUACAUAGGUAGACUCCAGUGGCGGAUUUAGUUCUUUGCUUAGGGGGGAGGGCAAUAUUUUUAAAUAUAUACAUACAUGCCCAUAUGUAAUUAUAAAAAAAUAUUUACGCCUCUGAUAGAUUUUACAUGUCUUUUAAAUUAAGUACCCAGGUACCUGUUUUUCGAUAUACAUAAAAUGAUUUUCUAUACUUUUAUGUAGGUACUACGUUACAUUUAUGUGUAACUAUAUUAAAAUUUAGAAUAUUAUAAAAACCUAUCUACAAGUCAAAUACCUACUUUAGGUAGCACCUUUAGACCAGUUUCAUAUUUAUACACAAAUUGGAUUUAAAAUACCCUACCUAUUUAAAAUAUAUACGUAUGUAUGAUCCAAAACCAGUGGUUUAAGUGGGGGUUGACGAAGAUUUUAUUAUUAUUUAAAAUAAAAUUAUCUGUACCCUUUAUUUUAAGUCAUUGGAGUCUGGAGAGAAAAUUUAAUAUUGUUGUUCUAGAGUA